rnacentral:rRNA from 1 species
AAUGGGCGAAAGCCUGAUCCAGCCAUCCCGCGUGAAGGAUGACGGCCUAUGGGUUGUAAACUUCUUUUAUAUAGGACGAACGCCUUCAUUUAUGGGGGCCUGACGGUACUAUACGAAUAAGCACCGGCUAAUUCCGUGCCAGCAACCGCGGUAAUACGGAAGGUGCAAGCGUUAUCCGGAAUCACUGGGUUUAAAGGGUGCGUAGGCUGUUAGAUAAGUCAGAGGUGAAAGCUCAUCGCUUAACGAUGGAACUGCCUUUGAUACUGUUUAACUUGAAUUAGGUUGAGGUUAGCGGAAUGAGUCAUGUAGCGGUGAAAUGCAUAGAUAUGACUUAGAACACCAAUUGCGAAGGCAGCUGGCUAGACCUAUAUUGACGCUGAGGCACGAAAGCGUGGGGAGCGAACAGGAUU